rnacentral:snoRNA from 1 species
UUACAUGAUGAACAAGAGCUCUCAGCUCUAUAAUCCCAGCUCGUCGACAGCAGCCUCAUUAAAUUCACGUUCGAGGCUGUUAUGAGAGGAAGUCCAACACUGAAAU